UGGUGUAGUGGUCACUGCGCUCGCCUUGCACGCGGGAGACCCGGGUUCGAUUCCCGG
rnacentral:tRNA from 1 species